GAUGCUGAUCUUGAGGGUUCACGCAUAGUCAUAUUCAUACAUCAAAAUUGAUUGUUGAACAUAUUGAUGUUUAGGUGAAGAAGGUUAGACCACAUGUUCUCCUUGGUUUGUCUGGGGUUGGUGGCAAUUUCAAUGAGGAGGUGCUUAAGGCAAUGAAAGAAUCUGUUUCAACAAAACCUGCCAUCUUUGCCAUGUCUAGCCCUACCAUGAAUGCUGAGUGCACUGCUAUUGAUGCUUUUAAGCAUGCCGGAGGAGAUAUCGUAUUUGGAAGUGGAAGCCCUUUC